rnacentral:rRNA from 1 species
GAAAGAACACAGAGAAAAUGAAUAAGAACAACUUU